rnacentral:rRNA from 1 species
UACAGAGGUCUCAAGCGUUGUUCGGAUUCAUUGGGCGUAAAGGGUGCGUAGGCGGCGCCGUAAGUCGGGUGUGAAAUCUCGGGGCUUAACUCCGAAACUGCAUUCGAUACUGCCGUGCUUGAGGACUGGAGAGGAGACUGGAAUUUACGGUGUAGCGGUGAAAUGCGUAGAUAUCGUAAGGAAGACCAGUGGCGAAGGCGGGUCUCUGGACAGUUCCUGACGCUGAGGCACGAAGGUCAGGGGAGCAAACGGG